rnacentral:lncRNA from 1 species
CCAAGAGAAAGGCUGAAGGGGAUACUAAAGGAGGAGAUAAAGCCCAGGUGAAGGACGAACCACAGAAUAGAUCCGCGAGGUUGUCUGCUAAACCUGCUCCUCCAAAACCAGAGCCCAAGCCUAAAAAGGCCCCUGCGUAGAAUAGAGAGACAGUACCCAAAGGGAAAAAGGGAAAAGCUGUUGCUGGCAAGGAGGGGAAUAACCCUGCAGAAAAUGGAGAUGCCAAAACAGACCAGGCACAGAAAGCUGAAGGUGCUGGAGAUGC